UUGAUUUGAUUACUUCAAUUUGGUUCUGGCCAUUGAAUUAAAGGUAAAGCCAAGCUUUUGGAAGUUUUACAGAGUAAUAAACAAAAUGGGAAUAGUUAAAUUAAGACUAACUCUGGUUUCAACCUGCACAUCUUUAUUACUUCUAAUGAGCAGGGAGAUGGAAACAGGAUCCAGGAGUAGAAAACACUGAUAAUCUCCUUAGCAUUUUGGAUAAUUUAUUGGUCUCUCUCCCACAUUGAGAGCCCCGAGCCUGCCAAAUAUUCAGUAAGAAUUCUUGGCAGCCCCUUCCCCCGAAAGAGGCUAUUGUCUUCCUUAGGGUGUAGUAUAGUUUUCUUUAUUUACUCCCCAAAAUGCUGAUAGACGUUUUCAGUUGCACUUGGUCACUGUGAAUCACAGUUGUACUUAAAAAAAAAAAAAAAAUUUUUUUUUCCACUUACAGAAAAAUAGCAAAAGCGAUCCAGCAGGAAGUUCCUGUGGACCCCUCACCCAGCUCCCCUGGUUAAGAUCUUACAGACACACCAUAGAGCAUUUAUAAAAGGAGCCCGUCCAGGAUCCCACAUUGCAUUGAGCUGUGUUAGAUCCUUAGCCGCCUUCAGUCUGCAACAGCUUCUCCACCUUUCCUUGAUUUCACGGACUCUGCACUUCUAAAGAGCAGGGACUGUCGUUAUGUCCCACAGUUUGGCUUUGUCUGAUGUGAUCUCGUGGUUAGACUGGGGUAAUGUGUCCUCAGACCUCCUGACAUCCUCCACCAGCUACCCGACAGUGGAUGCUCCGAGGUCCAGAGCCAGGUGUAUCCAGCUGAGAUCUGAUGACAAGUGAAAGAAGCAGAGGAAAAGGGAAAUCCAAUCUGGAAACAAUCACAGAUACUCAUAGGGAAGGUGGUGACAUGUGAAUCAUCUCCUCAUCGUGGUGCUUAAACCUCUUUCAAGCUCUUACUCUCUGAUAGCUCCUUUUCAUUUGCUCCAGGCCACCCACACCUCAUGUCAUGUAUCCAUUUCUUUACUCAGAAAUAAAAUGCAUGGACCAGAAGGCGGACCAGGCUGGCGGCAUUGAGCAAGCGCUGCUAACUGGCCGCACUAGUCAUCGAAGUUCAGGCCGUAACUAGCGUUCACGAAUCUGAGCUGUGUGGUCCAGUCGGGACCUCCCAGCCAACCCAUCCAGAGGGUCAAGGUAAAUGCAGCCAGUCCUUUGCACUCAAGUUUCUACAUUUGUGAAUUCAAGAAAUCGCUGAUCAAUUAGAGAAAUGCAAAACAGGAUGACACUGAGAUUUCAUCUCACUCCAGUCAGAACGGCAAUUAUCAAGAACAUAAGAAACAAUAAAUGUU